rnacentral:rRNA from 1 species
UUCCAGACUCCUACGGGAGGCAGCAGUGGGGAAUAUUGCACAAUGGGGGAAACCCUGAUGCAGCGACGCCGCGUGAGUGAAGAAGUAUUUCGGUAUGUAAAGCUCUAUCAGCAGGGAAGAAAAUGACGGUACCUGACUAAGAAGCCCCGGCUAACUACGUGCCAGCAGCCGCGGUAAUACGUAGGGGGCAAGCGUUAUCCGGAUUUACUGGGUGUAAAGGGAGCGUAGACGGCUGUGCAAGCCAGAUGUGAAAGCCCGGGGCUCAACCCCGGGACUGCAUUUGGAACUGUGUAGCUGGAGUGUCGGAGAGGCAGGCGGAAUUCCUAGUGUAGCGGUGAAAUGCGUAGAUAUUAGGAGGAACACCAGUGGCGAAGGCGGCCUGCUGGACGAUGACAGACGUUGAGGCUCGAAAGCGUGGGGAGCAAACAGGAUUAGAUCCCCUUGUA